rnacentral:rRNA from 1 species
ACGGCGAGUGAAGCGGCAACAGCUCAAAUUUGAAAUCUGGCGCCCUCGGCGUCCGAGUUGUAAUUUGUAGAGGAUGCUUCGGCGAGGGCUCCCGUCUAAGUCCCCUGGAACGGGGCGUCGCAGAGGGUGAGAAUCCCGUAUGUGAUGGGCUGCCCGAGCCGUGUGAAGCUCCUUCGACGAGUCGAGUUGUUUGGGAAUGCAGCUCUAAAUGGGAGGUAAAUUUCUUCUAAAGCUAAAUACCGGCCAGAGACCGAUAGCGCACAAGUAGAGUGAUCGAAAGAUGAAAAGCACUUUGGAAAGAGAGUUAAAAAGUACGUGAAAUUGUUGAAAGGGAAGCGCUUGCAACCAGACUCGCGCGCAGUUGCUCAGCCGGUCUCCUGACCGGUGUACUCUUCUGCGUCCGGGCCAGCAUCAGUUCGGGCGGCCGGAUAAAGGCCUCGGGAAUGUGGCUCCCCUCGGGGAGUGUUAUAGCCCGGGGUGCAAUGCGGCCAGCCCGGACUGAGGAACUCGCUUCGGCUAGGAUGCUGGCGUAAUGGUUGUAAGCGGCCCGUCUUGAAACACGGACCAAGGAGUCUAACAUCUAUGCGAGUGUUUGGGUGUCAAACCCAUGCGCGUAAUGAAAGUGAACGGAGGUGGGAACCCUCACGGGUGCACCAUCGACCGAUCCUGAUGUCUUCGGAUGGAUUUGAGUAAGAGCAUAGCUGUUGGGACCCGAAAGAUGGUGAACUAUGCCUGAAUAGGGUGAAGCCAGAGGAAACUCUGGUGGAGGCUCGCAGCGGUUCUGACGUGCAAAUCGAUCGUCAAAUUUGGGUAUAGGGGCGAAAGACUAAUCGAACCAUCUAGUAGCUGGUUCCUGCCGAAGU